AAGAACUCGAAGAAGAAGUGGUUCGUUCCUCAAUGGAGGACACCAGGGACCAGGUGAAUCCUUUGGAAUAGUUCUUAUCGGUUGAACUUUGGAAUUGAUAAUGUCGUUAAACGAUGAUAUCGAUCGUUUUUCAAAAACGUUUCUCUUAAGUGAACAACUCUCACCCAUCGAGUAACACCGUUACGACACUUUGCUCGCUACGCUAUGCUUUGCGACACUGCCUGUUUGCUCAUUGAAAAAAUACGACUGGUGAACGGAGAUUACGAAGGAGAAGAAAAGGAAAAGAAAAGAAUGAGCGAAAGAAAAGGAAUAAGAAAAAAGAAGAAGAAGAAGAAGGAAGAGAGAAAAUCAGAGUUUCAUAGGUGAUUAUCGGUUGAAUCUUAAGGUUGAUGUCCUGGGGUUAAAGAGAGAAAGAGAAAGAGAAAGACAGACGGAGAGACAGACGGAGAAAGACAGACAGAGUUGGAGAGAGGUAGAGAGAGAUUAAGAGAUUGAAAAAGAAGUGAUAGAAAGAGAGGAGUUUGCGAGGGGGCAAACUUUUUGAAAAAUCACUUGAAAAUGGUGCACGACGGCGAUUCGUAGCGGGUGUGACGAAUCGAAGAGCGGCUCUCAUUGGACUGAAUUAAGGAAGAGCGUGGACCGAGAGGACCGCCGCCGUAGCGGAAGGCGAUGGCAAGAGGAGGAGGAGGAGGAGGAGGAGGAGGAGGAGGUGGAGGUGGAGGUGGAGGAGGAGGAGGAGAAAAAGGAGGUGGUGGAUGAUGGUGGUGGUAGCGAUGAGAGUCGUCGACAGGAGUGGAGAGGAGAGAAAAACGAAAGAAAGAAGAGAGAGAGAGAGAGAGAGAGAGUUGGGUAGUCCGGACUACCGACUGCACGGGACUGGUUUUUGAUUUUUUCCCGACUUUUUGUUUUACCUGCUCUCCUGUUGCCUUUACCAACCACCAUCUUUCUCUUUCUCUCUCUCUCUCUCUUUUUAUCUCUCUCUCUCUCUCUCUCUCUUUUUAUCUCUCUGUCUCUCUCUCUCUCUCUCUUUCUCUCUAUCUAUCUGUCUUCUACUCUUCCUUCGCGUCCCACCUUUGAGAAACGGUGUAACGGAGUCUCGAGGGACUCCUUGAAGAUCGGCAAACUCGGGCGAAAUAUUUUGCGAAAAAAAAAGGAAACGACAAAAAUGUUGGAAUGUCUGCUUUCUUUCUUUCUUUUUUUUUUCUUUUUCUUUCUGUUUUUGUCUUCUUCUUCUUCUUCUUCUUCUUCUUCUUCUUCUUUGUCUUCUUUUAUUAUCUUUUUCUGUUCUUUUAUUUCUUUCUUUAUUUCUUUAUUUAUUUACUUAUUCUUUUUUCUUUCUCUUUCUUUUCUCUUUUUCUUCUUUUUAAUCGUUUCCUCUGUCCGUAAUUAAUUGUAAGAUCGAUUAUGAAUACUUUUGCGCGGACGAGUUACAACGUACGUCUAUGAAAAAAUUUGUUUUUUAUUUUGAUAAGUAUCCUCUACUGUUAUUGUCAAUAGAAGCCGAGAAUGCGCGUUGUUAAAUAUCAUUUAAAUUCCAUCGCGCUUCGUACUACCUGUGAAUCGUUAAUGAAGUAAACAGAGAUAGGUUUGAAUCAUCAUUAUCAUCAUCAUCAUCAUCAUCAUCAGCAUCAUCAUCAUCAUGAUCUUCAUCAUCAUCAUUAUUUACAAUAAGAUGCCACCUUGCAUUCUUGAGUUUGCCGAGCUCACUUUUAUUAUACGAUCGAACGACGAGUGACAUCGUUGCAUUGACAAAUGCAAUUAUAAUCAUGCAUUUGCAUACAACGUCUUAGGCAAUUUUAAUUGGAAAAAUAAACAUUGACGAAAGCGAUUGUAAUAAACUAUCAAGAACGUAAUCGUUCGUGAUAAUAAACGUCAGUUGAUCGCUAUAUUUUUCAAGGAUUCGUCGUAGAUUCGUUUUGGGGCGGAGGAGGGGGAGAGGGGUAGAAGAGAUAUGUGUGAUUCGACAUCGUUCAUUUCGUCAUUGACAAUCGCGUGUAUUAAGGAAAAAGAAGAAGAGGGGGUUGCGAUUAUCGGCCACUGCGAUCGUGCUCGAGUACGAGCUUGUAUAUAACAUACAUACGACACACACAUACACAUACACGUACAGUGAGAAACUGAAAUAACGUAAUCAGUGAUGAGGAGAAGGAGGGUGUGAGGAAGGGGUAGUCUUUUUAAACUUUUUCUAAUUUUUUUAUAAUAUUUUUUAAUCAGAUGUAAUCGAUAUUUUAAUAUAGAAUAAAAUUAAUAUAUUUUAAUCAAGAGUAAAUACGAUAUUUUAAUCAAGAGUAAAAUUUUCCUUACGGUAAGAAUACUAUAUCUUGAUUAAACAAAAAAAAAAAAGAAGAAUUAUUCGAACGUAAAAAUCGUACCUUAGUGUAUCGUGACGACAGAAUGAUUCCGAGUAAUACCACUGGGGAAUGUAUAACAUUAGAGAAUAUUAGGGGAUAACGUGUGGCAGUUAGAAAGGGAAAUUGAAGAAAAUGAAAGGAACAUGAUCCCCCCACCAUUCGUCAUUAUAGCUUCUCACUGUACAUACGUAUGACUGUCUGAAGAAUGGAUGGAUAUACGGAGAUACGAGGUUGUACGUCGUCCAUCGUGCAACCUCUCAUUUCCCUCCUACUGCAAUCAACGGCAUUUAAGCCUGGGUUCCGAGCGUUUAAGCAUUUAGUCGGCUUCCGCCAUAUCUCUACACGUAUUCCGAGCAUUUUUUUAUGGAUACACGGCUAACACCGACUCCCUCCCCCCUGCUCCCUGCCCCCUUGCCACCCCUACCCCUUGUAUGACGGAUACUUCCUGGAAUACGGACAUAAGGAUCGCAGAAAGAGAGAGAGAGAUGAGACGAGACGAGACGAGUCUCUUCUCUCUUUCUCUCUCUCUCUCUCUCUCUCUCUCUCUCUGGGGAUAGGCCAAGCAAAUUAUCGAUGGGUCGUCUUAUAUCGAUACGCAGAAACGACGAUCGAUGUCCGCGAUGGCUUUACGGAAUUUCAUGGGUACUUUAUUAAACGAAUCUUUCAUUUACUUUCUGAUGAUAAUUCUUGGUGAUAAGAGAACUGCGAUCGGUACUUUUCUAUUAAUCGAUUACAAUUAAAACGGAAUAUAUUGAAGAGAGAACGAAAGUAAUAUUUUAUAUUGUCGUGUGUGUAUGUAUAUAGUUCGACGAUUAAUAAUGUUACAAUAUAUUAUUUCUACAUACAUUUUUCAUCGAUUAAUUCGAACGGACGAUUGAUUUCCGAUGAGUGUAGGAAAGAUAGACAGGCUUCUCAUAAGCGAGGGUAAAUUCAUUCUUCGGAGAAGGGCUUGAACGUUCGUUCGUUCUUCGCUAUAGGUGGUCCUCUUUUCUAAGUAGAUACAAGCCCGUAUAGCAUCAGCCGUGAAACUUGGAUCACCCUGAAGAACGAAGAACCAUCACCACCACCACCACCACCACCACCACCACCAUCACCACUAUACUAUUACCAUCACCUUUCAUGGUGGAUUCUCGUGAUGGGUGCAACAUCGGGUUUAGUAGAGAUUCGAAAGGAAUGAACACGAUCGAAGAGAGGACCGCACACGUAUAGAACAUCACGUGUGCGUGACUUUGCGGCUUUCGGCUUUCCAAGUCGUUUUCUUUUUUUUACGGGAGGACGAACCGAACUCGAAAAGACAAAAGGCUCUGAGGAUGAUGUAAAGUGGGAGAGAUCGAGAGAGAGAGAGAGAGAGAGAAAGAAAGUGUGCGUGUAUGUAUGAGAAAGAUAGACAGAAUCUGAGAGAGAGAGAGAGAGAGAGAGAGAGAAUGUCAGGUAUACGAAGGUCGUUAGCUCGAAGAAAAAUUAGCCGUUUGUCGGAGAGAAGUUCUGGACCUAAAGAUGGGUCAAUCAGAUACGAAAACACUUGUCGGUUCAAGCAUUGUCCGAAGGUAACAGGUCUACAAAAGAUUGUAGACACAGGUAUACCGUCCUAAUGACUGACCUGAGGAAUUCAAACCUUUACGGGUCCUUGAAUUUUUUUCUAUCCUCUCCUAUCUCUCUUUCUCUUAUUUUCUCUUUCUCUUUUUCUCUAUCUCUCCGUCUUUCUCUUCCAUUCUCUCAUAUCAGGGUAGUUCCUUCCUCCGCAAAUCGUCUUAAAUUCAUCCCCAACUUCCUCCCUCGUGUCGUUUCAGUCAAAACGGAGUAGGGAUAAUCUGCCGCUGUAGCGGAACGAUAAGAUCUUUGUUUUAAUUUUACGUUAAAUGCACUUACCGUGGGGGUCGUCGUAAACCUUCGCAAAUGUAUCUCCGUAGGAACGCUUUGUCAUCUUUUUGAAAAACAAAAAAGAAAGAAAAGAGAAAAAGAAAAUUGUUCUCCUUUCGCACAGGAAGUAAGUAUUACUUUUCAAAGUUUUAUCGUUAAUCAGUUUUUAUGAUUCAUCAAAAGGUACUCUAUCGCCGGUCGGAAGUGAAAAGUCGUGUUAGAGGACAAAUGGUCGCGUUUUUCUCAUGGGUAUAAUCGUAAAACUUAACAGUUUUCCUUCUUCCAAUUUUUCGAGGGCGGAAAGCACGCUUCUUGUUUGCCGUAAGAAUCGAGAUAAGCCUAUGAGUCAUAAAACGAGAAGAAUGUGAAAAAGGUAAAUGAGUUUAUGGCUUUUGCUUUCGAACGUGUCAAUAUUCUUCGAUAAUCACCUUUAUAAAGGCCUCAUUAUGUCCAUGAAAAUGAUUUUAUUUGUCGAUCACGCAAUUUUUAAUAGAUGUUUAAAUAGAUAUUUAAAGAAGUAAGAAAUUUGUUAACUACGCGAUAAAAACGAACGUUUUUAUUAUCGCUUUUUUAACCUCGUUGAUCGGUCGGUAAAAGAGUUCAGUAUCCAUCGGAUAAGAAAGAUUUCACACGGUAAAGAAGUUUAUAGUUCUCAUUACCAUUCGAUGAUAAUGAUUAAUAAAAGUUUGAAAAUGUGGAAACAAUUUUUUCGUCUUUGGUACUUCGUAAUUAAAUUCCAAAGCCAUUCUCGUUUAUAGGAACGUUCGAUCAUAAAAUUCAAGGAUGAAAAGUAAAAAGAAUAAUGUCUUAAGCGUAUUUCGAAAUUUAUUGAUUUUAUCGUUUAUACACUUAUUACAUAAAUUUGUUAUUAGUUAAAAUAUCAUAUCCGAGGUAUGUAAUAUAAGAUUUUUUCUACGUAUACUUUCUCUACAAUAGGAACUUUUCUAUCUCUUUGAUUUAUUUCUUGAUAAAUAAAGCAGAAUCUACAUAGUAAUCGAUAUUAAAAUGCGGCACUAUCACCAGGGCAACGCUACGUGUCUACGGAAUGGUAUUAUUGAAAUCACGCGGAAUGACAUUAAUAUCGAGUAUUUGGAACACGAUGUAAUGAAGCUUGUGGUAUUCCAAGCGUCAUAUAACGUCGUUGUGCUCUUACAUGUAUAAUCUAUAUUUAACUAACGACAUCAAUUGACCUCAAUAUUUUCCAUCGUUCGUCGGCGGCCUGCCGGAAUUUCGAUUGUGAGUACCGACAAAGUUGCUCGACGAA